AAAAAGCUCGUAGUUGAAUUUCUGGACUUAGCGACCGGUCCGCGUCUUAUGGGCGUGUGUACUUGUGCGCUGUGUCCAUUUUCGUGGGGAACUGUCUGGCGUUCACGCGUCGGGCGGUGAUCCGCGUCUUUUACUGUGAAAAAAUUAGAGUGUUUAAAGCAGGCAUAUGCCUUGAAUACAUUAGCAUGGAAUAAUAAGAUAGGACUUUGGCCUAUUUUGUUGGUUAUUACGCCAAGGUAAUGAUUAAUAGGGAUAGUUGGGGGUAUUCAUAUUUCAUUGUCAGAGGUGAAAUUCUUGGAUUUAUGAAAGAUGAACAACUGCGAAAGCAUUUACCAAGGAUGUUUUCAUUAAUCAAGAACGAAAGUCAGGGGAUCGAAGAGGAUUAGAUACCCUCGUAGUCUUGACCAUAAACUAUGCCCGACUCAGGGAUUGG
rnacentral:rRNA from 1 species